GACGAACGCUGGCGGCGUGCCUAAUACAUGCAAGUCGAGCGAAGUUUUUCUGGAGCUUGCACCGGAAAAACUUAGCGGCGAACGGGUGAGUAACACGUAAAGAACCUGCCUUAUAGACUGGGACAACUAUUGGAAACGAUAGCUAAUACCGGAUAACAGCAUUAACUGCAUGGUUGAUGUUUGAAAGUUGGUUUUGCUAACACUAUGAGAUGGCUUUGCGGUGCAUUAGCUAGUUGGUGGGGUAAAGGCCUACCAAGGCGACGAUGCAUAGCCGACCUGAGAGGGUGAUCGGCCACACUGGGACUGAGACACGGCCCAGACUCCUACGGGAGGCAGCAGUAGGGAAUCUUCCGCAAUGGGCGAAAGCCUGACGGAGCAACGCCGCGUGAGUGAAGAAGGAUUUCGGUUCGUAAAGCUCUGUUGUUAGGGAAGAAUGAUUGUGUAGUAACUAUACACAGUAGAGACGGUACCUAACCAGAAAGCCACGGCUAACUACGUG
rnacentral:rRNA from 1 species